rnacentral:tRNA from 1 species
GGAAGUAGCUCAGUGGUAAAGCACUUGCCUAGAUGUGCAAGGCCCUAGGUUCAAUCCCUCAAAUUUCA